rnacentral:rRNA from 1 species
GAUGAACGCUAGCGGCAGGCCUAACACAUGCAAGUCGAGGGGCAGCACGUCUUCGGAUGGUGGCGACCGGCGCACGGGUGCGUAACGCGUAUGCAACCUACCUCUUACAGUGGGAUAGCCCAGAGAAAUUUGGAUUAAUACCGCAUAGUAUACAGAUUCAGCAUUGGGACUGUAUUAAACAUUUAUGGGUAAGAGAUGGGCAUGCGUUCUAUUAGUUAGUUGGAGUGGUAACGGCACCCCAAGACAGCGAUAGAUAGGGGCCCUGAGAGGGGGAUCCCCCACACUGGUACUGAGACACGGCCCAGACUCCUACGGGAGGCAGCAGUGGGGAAUAUUGGACAAUGGGGGAAACCCUGAUCCAGCAAUGCCGCGUGCGUGAAGAAGGCCUUAGGGUUGUAAAGCGCUUUCACCUGUGAUGAUGAUGACAGUAGCAGGAGAAGAAGCCCCGGCUAACUCCGUGCCAGCAGCCGCGGUAAAGUCACA